AGAAAAAUUGGACCAAUAAGCUUUCAGGGAUACGUAUGAAAGGUUUUUUUCCUCCCCUCUUCUAUGGAAUUACUUUUGUGCCUUUUUAAUAUCAAACACACCUUUUGAAUUCGUGAAUUAAAUUCUUAAUGCAAACAAAAAUGAUACUGAAAGCAAAACAUUAACCCACAAGUGUUGAGGUCGAAUAAAUAACAUAGCAAGGAAAUAAUUUUGAAAGGCAAGAACAAAUACAUUGUAAAUGAAUGCGGGAAAAAAUGGUUUUAAUUUAAACAUUUUCAAUGAUUGCAAAGAAACGCUUCCCUCUUUGUCUGCAAUAGUUUCUUUCUUUGGUUACGUUACCCUGCCCGCCCUUCGAUUUAGCUGCCUUUUUGGGGGGUUUAAAGGGAAGCGUAGAAGAUGCGUCUCUAUUGGUCAACUGGUUUUGGAAUGACAGGUCAUCUUUGAUUUUUUUUCACUAUUUUUUUAACUUAUUUAACUUUUCCAUUUAGGAUAAAUAGGUCUCAGUGGCUACUAGAUAGCUAGACAGGGUAAAAUGUACGACAAGAAGGACAUGGGGAAACAUCGCGGCGGUUGUGGCUGAUGACCUGUCUCCAUAGCUGAGAGAAGCCAAGGAGGAAUAUCACUUCAUUCCCAACAAUACUGCUAAUAUUUCUAACUGUACCGAUGAGAAAGAGUAGGGCAGACUUAUACAAUUACAAUACAGAAAUGUUCUUGCUCUUUAGUGAAUUUCUACCAAUCAUAUGUUGGAAACCAUUUAUCAAGGAAAACGAGUUGAACACUUUUUGUGGAAAUUGUAAUCUGUUUCUUGAACACCAGUGUUUCAUCUAAGGACAAUAAUAACUAUUACCUGUAUCAAAAUGUACAAUAAGGGGUAUAUCCUUAUAAAAUAAUUGAUGGUUAAUUGUGUAUGGACAUGACAAUUAACUAACACUUA